AUAUGGGUAGGGUAUGUGCACCCCUAGUAGUAUCUGUUCUUAUCAGUUUAAUAUCUUAUAUGUGAGCCAGGCUCACACGAUAUUAAAUUAAUUUUUUUCAUGGGGAGUUCCCAUCACAACAGCUUGCUGUUGGGUUCUCACGCGUCGCCCUUGCGUUGCACUACUACACCCCCACCAAUGCUUAAAGCUUAAACU